rnacentral:rRNA from 1 species
UACAGAGGGUGCAAGCGUUAAUCGGAAUUACUGGGCGUAAAGCGUGCGCAGACGGUUGCGUAAGUCAGAUGUGAAAGCCCCGGGCUCAACCUGGGAAUUGCAUUUGAGACUGCGUAGCUAGGGUGCGGAAGAGGGAAGCGGAAUUUCCGGUGUAGCGGUGAAAUGCGUAGAUAUCGGAAGGAACACCAGUGGCGAAAGCGGCGUCCUGGUCCAGCACCGACGUUCAGGCACGAAAGCGUGGGGAGCAAACAGG